UGCUGGGCUUCUCGAAUACUGUACAAAAAAGUACGAUUCUUCCCCACACAGAAGGUUAGGCAUUUGUGUAGCCUCUUUCACUCCAUGAAUGAGAAAGGAAACGCAGACAGGCGCUUCGAAGAUGAGGAAAGCAGCAUCAAAGAGGUCUCAAACUUGUCUCAGAGGGAAAACACACACACAAAAAAAUGAAUCGCGAAAUCAAUUAGGUUGGAAAAGACCUCGGAUCAUCGAGUCCAACCUAUGACCUAACACCACCAUGUCAACUAUACUGUUGGCACUAAGUGCUACAUCCAGUCAUAAACACUUUCAGGGACGGUGUCUCCAUCACUUCCUCAGGCAUCCUAUUCCAGUGUCUAAUGAUCCUUUCUGUGAAAAAAUUCCUUCUCAUAUCCAACCUCCACCGGCACAGCUUGAGACUAUGUCUUCUUGUCCUGUCUCUGGUUGCUGGGAGAAGAUGCUAAGCCCCAGGUGUCUACAGCCUCCUUUCAGCCUCCUUGUAAGAGUGAUAAGAUCAUCUCUGAGUCUCCUUUCUUUCUGGGCUGAACAGCUCCUUCUGCUCCUCGCAGAACUUGGGCUCUAGAUCCUUCCCCAGCUUCAUUGUCCUUCUCUGGAUUCACACCAGCACCUCAAUGUCCUUUCCUGAAUGGAGAGACCCAGAAUUGGACACAGAACUUGAGGUUUGAUUUCACCAGUGCCUAGUACAGGGAAAUAAUCACUUUUUCCUGUUGUGAGUGAAAACAAAAAAACCAACCAACUUUUACAUGGUUGGGAAGUGUGAAACCAAAACGUGGAUUUGGUUUACAUGAACUGCAUAUAAACCAAGAGCAAAUAAAUAGGAGGAAGAGAGUCUCUGGUUCAAUGAAUAUAAAUAACUAGAAUAUUUAUAUUCUAUAUUUAUAUUCUUGUUCUCAGAACUGCAUAAACAUGACCAGCAUCCAGAAAUCAGUCACAAUAUUUUGCAUUUGGACACGAAAACCAUUUCAUUAGAGAAAACUGAAAAGACUGUGUGAAAGACUUGAGCAAAAACACAAUGAAUUCCUGAAGUAGAAAUGGAAAGGAACACUUUCAUUUUAUGAGGGUCUUGUUAAAGAACCUGAAAUAUGCUGAUUAAAGAGGUCAACAAGAUCUAAUAAAUUCCUGAAUGAAAAAGAGAAGAACAUUUAACCUCAGCACAGUCUCAUAAACAGCUUGUCAAAUGCAACACAAUAAUGUCUGAGGUUACGUGGAAUGACACUGUCAUUUAAAAAAAAUAUGGCACUGAUGGAUUCCAGCCCUACCAAUCUGAAGUGCUGUGAGAGAACACUGAUGACUCUUGUUCUUAGGAUGUAUUUUUGACCACUUAAAUGCCAGAGGUGGCUCUGAUUACUUCUGAACUGUAGUGUGAGAUGUGUAAUCUCUAGACUCUGGAUUUGGAUCCCAUACUGUUCAGGAGUUUUGAGUUCUGAGGAAAAGCAUACUAAGAAUGCUUUGCACAGGCAUGGUCCUGGGUUGUCUCAUACCCAGAAACAACCCUUACUCUCCUCCACAGAGGCCAGAUUUCUCAGAAUAUGGAAUAUGUGUGGAUGCUCAGUGAAAACAGCUCACCAGAGAGCAAGUAGCCUGUGUUUGGGACAGACAACCUGCUGUUCAGUUCAGAUGAUUCAGAGCAGAUUUGGAAUAUGUGAUACCAGGCCUUCAUCCAAGGGGCAGCAGUGACCUGCCCUGGUUGUACAGCAAGAUUGCGUUCCUGUCUCCAGUACUGCAAGAUGCACCUGCAAGCACACACUCAGCCACACAGGUAUUUCUUUUAGGCGUGGUGAGUUAUCUUUGAGCAACUGAAUUUAUCUCUGCUUACUACAGAGGCAGCCGAAACCAGAUUCCAGACUUUCUGAGGGUUAGAGUUAGGUGAAAUGAAUCUUCGCUCAAGCAUUCAACCACAGCUCCUUGGCUUGUGCCGUUAGCUUCCUGAAUUCCCAGAUGACUUCCCACCACAGCUUAGCCAGGCCUGGAACUGCUUAUUUUCUCAGAAGGGAUGAGGUGAAAUUCAGUUAGUUCAGCAAAGCCAGUAGCAUGUCAAAAUUAUAUGCAAAAGUAUGUAUUUGUAGUCUUGUUUUUCAAAUAAAUGUUUUGUAAUAAAUAUUCUUAAUUCUUAACAGGCUCAAAAUACUCUCUCUAGUUGUGGUGAUUUUAAAAAGCCUGUUCAAAUGUUUAUCAAGCCAUAAGCAGAACCGCCCCUGCAGCGGUCAGUAAGUCAGUAGUACGUGCACAGAAUGAAAGCAGCUGCCUCCGUGCUGCCGCCGGGGCAGUGCCCAGCCCAGGUACUGCUCCAGAGGGAGCACGGCGGCUGCCAGGCCCCGGAGAGCCCGCUCUGGCUCCGGCCGAGGGGAGCCGUGCCCUGCUGCCUGCGGAGCCCUGCUGCCUGCGGAGCCCUGCGUGCUGCCCAUUUGCCCAGGGCGGCUGUGCAAGAGCUGAGGCAGGGGGGAGAAAUUCGGAGAGCAGGCGCCAAGUUGUGAGGAGGUUAUUAAUGGCGGCGUGUGACUGCAGGUACUUGGUGACACCGGAGCUCAUUCUGGAGACUCCUCUGAUUCUGCUAUGUUUUUCUUUUUUAAACCUGGCCUUUGAUUAAAAAUGCCUCGCUUCCAGCUCACGUUGUCUUUUAAAUGGCUCUGUAAAGCCCUCUCGCGGUUCCCAGCUCACAUCAGAAGCAGGGCUGGAAGUGUUUCACUGCAGAAUAAACAUACGGGCUGUAAAUCCUGUGAUUCAGAAGAUCGCCUGCAGUAUUCCUCUCCGCUGUUGCCAUAGGUAACCGGGCUCUGCAAAACACCAUUUACCCUGGAAUGCAAGGAGACACGGAGCUCAGCAAGGGCACUCCGGUUAACCCUUUCCUAGCAGAAAAAAAAAAAAAAGAAAAAUCCCUGCGGUAAUCCCAGCCGAAACUCGUCUCUCACGCGUGUAGGAUCACACACAAUAAACGCGCUCCGUGUACACUGAGGCGAGUUACCCGGCCAGCUCGGCCCCAGGCAUGUGCACAUGU